rnacentral:tRNA from 1 species
GCCUGGGUGGCUCAGUCGGUUGAGCGUCCGACUUCGGCUCGGGUCACUAUCUCGUGGUUCGUGAGUUCGAGCCCCGCGUCAGGCU